rnacentral:rRNA from 1 species
UGCAAGUCGAACGGCAGCACGGGAGCAAUCCUGGUGGCGAGUGGCGAACGGGUGAGUAAUAUAUCGGAACGUGCCCAGUCGUGGGGGAUAACGUAGCGAAAGCUACGCUAAUACCGCAUACGAUCUAUGGAUGAAAGCGGGGGAUCGAAAGACCUCGCGCGAUUGGAGCGGCCGAUAUCAGAUUAGGUAGUUGGUGGGGUAAAAGCUCACCAAGCCGACGAUCUGUAGCUGGUCUGAGAGGACGACCAGCCACACUGGGACUGAGACACGGCCCAGACUCCUACGGGAGGCAGCAGUGGGGAAUUUUGGACAAUGGGCGCAAGCCUGAUCCAGCAAUGCCGCGUGCAGGAUGAAGGCCUUCGGGUUGUAAACUGCUUUUGUACGGAGCGAAAAGGCUCUCUCUAAUACAGGGGGCUCAUGACGGUACCGUAAGAAUAAGCACCGGCUAACUACGUGCCAGCAGCCGCGGUAAUACGUAGGGUGCAAGCGUUAAUCGGAAUUACUGGGCGUAAAGCGUGCGCAGGCGGUUAUGUAAGACAGAUGUGAAAUCCCCGGGCUCAACCUGGGAACUGCAUUUGUGACUGCAUAGCUAGAGUACGGCAGAGGGGGAUGGAAUUCCGCGUGUAGCAGUGAAAUGCGUAGAUAUGCGGAGGAACACCGAUGGCGAAGGCAAUCCCCUGGGCCUGUACUGACGCUCAUGCACGAAAGCGUGGGGAGCAAAC